rnacentral:rRNA from 1 species
AUUGAACGCUGGCGGCAGGCUUAACACAUGCAAGUCGAGCGAGCGGCGGACGGGUGAGUAAUGUCUGGGAAACUGCCUGAUGGAGGGGGAUAACUACUGGAAACGGUAGCUAAUACCGCAUACCAUCAGAUGUGCCCAGAUGGGAUUAGCUAGUAGGUGGGGUAAUGGCUCACCUAGGCGACGAUCCCUAGCUGGUCUGAGAGGAUGACCAGCCACACUGGAACUUAGACACGGUCCAGAAUCCUACGGGAGGCAGCAGUGGGGAAUAUUGGCACAAGGGCGGAAGCCCGAUGCAGCCCAGCCGGGUGGGUGAAGGAGGCCUUCGGGUUGUAAAACACUUUCAGCGAGGAGGCGGUACUCGCAGAAGAAGCACCGGCUAACUCCGUGCCAGCAGCCGCGGUAAUUC